rnacentral:rRNA from 1 species
UGGGGAAUUUUGGACAAUGGGCGAAAGCCUGAUCCAGCAAUGCCGCGUGUGUGAAGAAGGCCUUCGGGUUGUAAAGCACUUUUGUCCGGAAAGAAAUCCUUGGCUCUAAUACAGUCGGGGGAUGACGGUACCGGAAGAAUAAGCACCGGCUAACUACGUGCCAGCAGCCGCGGUAAUACGUAGGGUGCAAGCGUUAAUCGGAAUUACUGGGCGUAAAGCGUGCGCAGGCGGUUUGCUAAGACCGAUGUGAAAUCCCCGGGCUCAACCUGGGAACUGCAUUGGUGACUGGCAGGCUAGAGUAUGGCAGAGGGGGGUAGAAUUCCACGUGUAGCAGUGAAAUGCGUAGAGAUGUGGAGGAAUACCGAUGGCGAAGGCAGCCCCCGGGCCAAUACUGACGCUCAUGCACGAAAGCGUGGGGAGCAAACAGGAUUAGAUACCCUGGUAGUCCACGCCCAUAAACGAUGUCAACUAGUUGUUGGGGAUUCUUUCCUAGUAACGUAGCAACGCGUGAAGUUGACCGCCUGGGGAGUACGGUCGCAAGAUUAAAACUU